AACGAACGCUGGCGGCAGGCCUAACACAUGCAAGUCGAACGCGUGUAGCAAUACACGAGUGGCGCACGGGUGAGUAACACGUGGGAAUCAACCCUGAGGUUCGGAAUAACCGCGGGAAACUGCGGCUAAUACCGGAUGUCCCCUAUGGGGAAGAUUAUCGCCUUGGGACGAGCCCGCGUCCGAUUAGCUAGUUGGUGAGGUAAUGGCUCACCAAGGCUACGAUCGGUAGCUGGUCNGAGAGGAUGACCAGCCACACUGGAACUGAGAUACGGUCCAGACUCCUACGGGAGGCAGCAGUGGGGAAUAUUGGGCAAUGGAGGCAACUCUGACCCAGCCAUGCCGCGUGGGUGACGAAGGUCUUCGAUU
rnacentral:rRNA from 1 species